CCUAGGGGAGGCAGCAGUGGGGAAGAUUGCGCAAUGGGCGAAAGCCGGACGCAGCGACGCCGCGUGAGGGAUGAAGGUCGUCGGAGCGGAAACCUCUGUCAGCAGGGAAGAACGGUCACUGGGCUAAGCAGCAGUGAAUUGACGGUACCUGCAAAGGAAGCACCGGCUAACUCCGUGCCAGCAGCCGCGGUAAUACGGAGGGUGCGAGCGUUAAUCGGAAUUACUGGGCGUAAAGCGCUCGUAGGCGGUAUGUCAAGUCAAGGGGGAAAUCCCCGCGCUCAACGUGGGAACUGCCUUUGAAACUGGCAGACUGGAGUGUGUGAGAGGAUAGUGGAAUUCCAGGUGUAGGUGU
rnacentral:rRNA from 1 species